rnacentral:rRNA from 1 species
GACGAACGCUGGCGGCGUGCCUAAUACAUGCAAGUGGGACGCAAGGAAAUACACUGUGCUUGCACACCGUGUUUUCUUGAGUCGCGAACGGGUGAGUAACGCGUAGGUAACCUGCCUAUUAGCGGGGGAUAACUAUUGGAAACGAUAGCUAAUACCGCAUAAUAUUAAUUAUUGCAUGAUAAUUGAUUGAAAGAUGCAAGCGCAUCACUAGUAGAUGGACCUGCGUUGUAUUAGCUAGUUGGUAAGGUAAGAGCUUACCAAGGCGACGAUACAUAGCCGACCUGAGAGGGUGAUCGGCCACACUGGGACUGAGACACGGCCCAGACUCCUACGGGAGGCAGCAGUAGGGAAUCUUCGCUCAAUGGACGAAAGUCUGACCGAGCAACGCCGCGUGAGUGAAGAAGGUUUUCGGAUCGUAAAGCUCUGUUGUAAGUCAAGAACGUGUGUGAGAGUGGAAAGUUCACACAGUGACGGUAGCUACCAGAAAGG